rnacentral:rRNA from 1 species
UACGUAGGGUGCGAGCGUUGUCCGGAAUUAUUGGGCGUAAAGAGCUUGUAGGCGGUUUGUCGCGUCUGCUGUGAAAUCUCAAGGCUCAACCUUGAGCUUGCAGUGGGUACGGGCAGACUAGAGUGUGGUAGGGGAGACGGUGGAAUUCCGUAGGUGGUAGCGGUGAAAUGCGCAGAUAUCAGGAGGAACACCGAGUGGCGAAGGCAGGUCUCUGGGC